rnacentral:tRNA from 1 species
GCCUCCGUGGUCUAGGGGACAAUGAUUCGGCCCUUUCGAGGCUGAGACCCGGGUUCGAAUCCCGGCGGGGGCA